GACGAACGCUGGCGGCGCGCCUAACACAUGCAAGUCGAACGGAGUCAAGAGGAGCUUGCUUUUCUUGACUUAGUGGCGAACGGGUGAGUAACGCGUGAGUAACCUGCCCUGGAGUGGGGGACAACAGUUGGAAACGACUGCUAAUACCGCAUAAGCCCACGGAUCUGCAUGGAUCUGCGGGAAAAGGAUUUAUUCGCUCUAGGAUGGACUCGCGUCCAAUUAGCUAGUUGGUGAGGUAACGGCCCACCAAGGCGACGAUUGGUAGCCGGACUGAGAGGUUGAACGGCCACAUUGGGACUGAGACACGGCCCAGACUCCUACGGGAGGCAGCAGUGGGGGAUAUGGCACAAUGGGGGAAACCCUGAUGCAGCGACGCCGCGUGGAGGAAGAAGGUUUUCGGAUUGUAAACUCCUGUCGUUAGGGACGAUAAUGACGGUACCUAACAAGAAAGCACCAGCUAACUACGU
rnacentral:rRNA from 1 species